UACGGAGGGGGCGAGCGUUAUUCGGAAUUAUUGGGCGUAAAGGGCGCGUAGGCGGCUUCUUAAGUCAAAGGUGAAAUCCCUCGGCUCAACUGAGGAACUGCACGGGAAACUGCCUGGCUUGAGUUCGGGAGAGGGAAGCGGAAUUCCGGGUGUAGCGGUGAAAUGCGUAGAUAUCCGGAGGAACACCGGUGGCGAAGGCGGCUUCCUGGACCGACACGUG
rnacentral:rRNA from 1 species